rnacentral:rRNA from 1 species
GAUGAACGCUAGCUACAGGCUUAACACAUGCAAGUCGAGGGGCAGCAUGAACUUAGCUUGCUAAGUUUGAUGGCGACCGGCGCACGGGUGAGUAACGCGUAUGCAACUUGCCUAUCAGAGGGGGAUAACCCGGCGAAAGUCGGACUAAUACCGCAUGAAGCAGGGGCCCCGCAUGGGGAUAUUUGCUAAAGAUUCAUCGCUGAUAGAUAGGCAUGCGUUCCAUUAGGCAGUUGGCGGGGUAACGGCCCACCAAACCGACGAUGGAUAGGGGUUCUGAGAGGAAGGUCCCCCACAUUGGUACUGAGACACGGACCAA